rnacentral:rRNA from 1 species
UACGUAGGGUCCGAGCGUUGUCCGGAUUUAUUGGGCGUAAAGAGCGCGCAGGCGGUCGAUCAAGUCGAGUGUGAAAGCCCCCGGCUCAACUGGGGAGGGUCAUUCGAUACUGAUCGACUCGAAGGCAGGAGAGGGUAGUGGAAUUCCCGGUGUAGUGGUGAAAUGCGUAGAUAUCGGGAGGAACACCAGUGGCGAAGGCGACUACCUGGCCUGUUCUUGACGCUGAGGCGCGAAAGCUAGGGGAGCAAACGGG